rnacentral:rRNA from 1 species
GAUGAACGCUAGCGGCAGGCUUAAUACAUGCAAGUCGUGGGGCAGCAUGAGUGUAGCAAUACAUUUGAUGGCGACCGGCAAGCGGGUGCGGAACACGUACACAACCUUCCUAUAAGUGGGGAAUAGCCCAGAGAAAUUUGGAUUAAUACCCCGUAACAUAAUGAUGUGGCAUCACAUUAUUAUUAUAGCUUCGGCGCUUAUUGAUGGGUGUGCGGCUGAUUAGAUAGUUGGCGGGGUAACGGCCCACCAAGUCUACGAUCAGUAGCUGAUGUGAGAGCAUGAUCAGCCACACGGGCACUGAGACACGGGCCCGACUCCUACGGGAGGCAGCAGUAAGGAAUAUUGGUCAAUGGACGCAAGUCUGAACCAGCCAUGCCGCGUGAAGGAUUAAGGUCCUCUGGAUUGUAAACCUCUUUUAUCUGGGACGAAAAAAGGCGAUUCUUCGUCACUUGACGGUACCAGAUGAAUAAGCACCGGCUAACUCCGUGCCAGCCGCCGCCGUAAAAC